rnacentral:tRNA from 1 species
GCGUCGGUGGUAGAGUGGUCAAUUACAACAGGCUGUAAACCUGUCGACUUCGGUCUUCGAAGGUUCGAAUCCUUCCCGGCGCACCA